rnacentral:lncRNA from 1 species
UGACUUACGAGACCGGCGCUGGUAACAAGACUAGUGAAUAUGAACAGGCGCUUAGUCUCGGAGAAGAAAAGGAGAAAAGUGUGAGUCUUCGCUACACAGCUACAGUUGAGCGGGAUUGUUAUCCCUCUCCCCCUAUUCUCAUCCUCCCCAUUCCAGUCAGGAUGAGGUAAUCGGGUUAGUUAGACCAUAUCAGUAAGAGCUUUGAUUAGAGAGGGGAAAUUGAAUUGGUUCCCCUUUUUCAGCCCCCUCCCCUGGCCUUCAGUUCUCCUCCUGCUCUGCUACACUAGAUGCCAUUCAGUUCAGCUGCCUGCUACAGCAAAUCACUGGAUAGCCUAUCUGAUGAAUCCAUUUGUUCCUCUCUUCCUCAAUCUCUAUCUCUCGGUGACUGUUCUUGUUGCGACUAUUCUUUUACUGGUUUAUUUAGUUUCUCUAGCGACCAAGUGUGCUGUAACUCUUCUCAAAGUUGUCAUGUUUCAAAGUGCUUUGUCUGCUGAAAAAUGGUAAUAACCAUAGUGUAUGUCAGGGCUAGUAGCUACUGUAUGACAAACUUAGCGUUAGCUAUGCAUUUCUUAGCCUUUCAUCCAGAUAGUAUUUCAGGAAUGUUCUCUUUUUCUCCCUCCUGCUGAUAUGGGAAUGAAUGUACUUUCCUAGCAGCAGCACAGUUAAGAGGACAGCAGGAGCGGUGUUCUCAUUCCUAGGGCUGGCAGAAUUGCCGCGUAACCGACAGUGGUGGAUGAAGACUGUCAUCAAAAUAAAAUAACCGAUGAACGUGGUACCUUCAGGCGUUUGGAAAUUGCUCCCAAGGAUGAACCAGACUUGUGGACGUCUAAAAUGUAUUUUCUGAGGUCUUGGCUGAUUUCUUUUGAUUUUCCCAUGAUGUCAAGCAAAGAGGCACUGAGUUGGAAGGUAGGCCUUCCACAUCCACAGGUACACCUCCAAUUUACACAAAUUAUGUUAAUUCGCCUAUCAGAAGCUUUUAAAGCCAUUACAUCCUUUUCUGGCAUUUUCCAAGCUGUUUAAAGGCACAGUCAACUUAGUGUAUGUAAACUUCUGACCCACUUGAAUUGUGAUACAGUGAAUUAUAAGUGAAAUAAUCUGUCUGUAAACAAUUGCUGUAAAAAUGAUUUGUGUCAUGCACAAAGUAGAUGUCCUAACCGACUUGCGCAAACUAUUGUUUGUUAGCAAGAAAUGUGUGGAGUGGUUGAAAAAUGAGUUUUAAUGACUCCAACCUAAGUGUAUGUAAACUUCCGACUUCAACUGUAUAUACUGUAUUUUAUACCAUCUAUUGCACCUUGCCUAUACCGCUCGGCCAUUGCUCAUCCAUAUUCUUACAUGCAUAUAUUCUCAUUCACCCCUUUAGAUUUGUGUGUAUUAGGUAGUUGUUGGGGAAUUGUUAGAUUACUUGUUAGAUAUUAAUGCACUGUCGGAACAAGAGGCACACGCAUUUCGCUACACUCACAUUAUUAUCUGCUAAGCAUGUGUAUGUGUCAAAUACAAUUUUAUUUGUUUUUCAUUUAUAAUUUUUUUGUAUUUUGUAUUUUUUUGUAAUGUCAGUUGAGUUGAACCAACAAAUCACAGCACAUAUUGAUGGGUCCACUUUCUGAUUUUAUUUCCUGCUUUGCUCCUAUGGGUACACUCGCAAUGGUUGUCUGUCCACCAAUUAUGCCAUCAUUGACUUGAAUGGGGACGCAAGUUCUAUUAAUUAUAUUUCUAUGGCAGGCAGGAGCCGAGGAAUUGAGAAAAUGUACGUAAAAGUAACAUGAGACCACGGUCAUUUGACUGGCCAAUUACUGUCACAGCUCUACUCAUUCCUCAACAACAGAACAGCCUGUUUCCACCUGGAUAACAUCAGCUCCUGGGCCUAGCGUAGCUGCCUAACAAACACCGCUAGCCUCUUCCUCCUCAUACACACCUCCUCAAGUUCAGAAUAUGAGUCUAUGACUUAUCUCAGGUUCAUCCAUUGGCUUGUGACCUGAUUUUCAGUUCACCCAUUGUCAUUUGAUUGGUGCUUCCUGUGUGCUUCCUGUAUUAAUGAGGAUUGGUUAACCCUUGUGUGGUGUUCAUGUUUUUGUUAUUCACCCAGUGUUUGCAGGUUUGACGGACCCACAACAUUGUUUUUUGUUUUUUUAACAAUACAGCCAUAACAAUUUACAUAAAAAUCCUUAAUACUUAGAUGUUGACAUAUCAAUUACCAGAAAUAUAGAUAGCAUACAUGGUUAAUAUUUGCUAUUUACUUCUGCAAGAUCACAUUGAUCAAUAAAAGCGCUAUUAUAAUCAAGACAUGGGUGGAAUAAAUCAUGUUUAUCUUGAACAAAUAUAAAUGAAACAAGGUUUUCAUCACUAUUAAUGUUGUAUUUCUUUGAACUGAACAAAUUGGAAGGACAAAUUUUACACAAUAUUUUAUGGAAAUGAUAAAUGAGCCCCAUUGAACACAAAUUAAGGCCGGUCUACACACCACAUGAGGGACAGAGUUUUACUGUGUUUUUGUGUUGCAAAUGUAUUUCUUGCACUUGAUGCAUGUUUACUGUCUCUUCCUGUACUUCUUGGGUCCACACACAUCGCAGCGCUUCAGCUUGUUGCUACCGGCUGCAAUCUAGAAUGAUGAAAACACUUAGUUCAGGAACAUCUCACUCACGUAGUUACAGCAGGCCAAGGUAGGAGAGUCAGACACACACACAUGCAACAGCAUCACUCACACUUACUUCCAGUAUUGGAGUUGUUGGUUCUGUGGGUCGGGCGGAUGGGGCAACAGCAUUCUCCUCCUGAAUCCUCCUCACGAUGGCUGCGGAAGCAGGGGUCCUAGUUAUAUGUUGCCUCCUCUGGAUUUGAGCUCUUACCAAUGCCUUUCCCAGCUCCUCGAGAAAGAGCCGUCUCCUCUGGAGCUUCCCUCUGUUCCAAUCUGGGUUCAACGCCAUCCAGAUGACACAUGUGUUGUAUGCCGAGAUGUCCAUGAUGUUGAAGAAUAUCAAGUGGCUAGCGUAGGGUUCUUCUUUUGCAGCUGUAGCCAGUCACCAGCUUGUCUAAAUUGUCCACCCCUCCUUUUGUGGCAUUUUAAUCCAUUAUGAUUUCUGGAUUUUGAUGUUCCUGGCCACAGAUUCUCUCAUCCCUAUGCAGCGUACUCAUGAGUACCACAUUUUUGCCUUUCUUUGGCAAGUAGGACACUAGGGACUUGUCGACCGUGAACACAAACUUAGAGGAGUUGAUAGGCCUGUUCCGUGUAUUCAACAGCUGAGGUGGGAGCUCUGGCUUGUUUUUUCGUACUGUUCCUACUAGAGGUCGACCGAUUAAUCGGAAUGGUUUUCAUAACAAUCGGUAAUCGGUAUUUUUGGCCACCGAUUUGCCGAUUUAUUAUUAUUAUUUAUUUUUUUACACUUUUAUUUAACUAGGCAAGUCAGAUUAAGAACACAUUCUUAUUUUCAAUGACAGCCUAGGAACGGGGGUUAACUGCCUUGUUCAGGGGGGAUUCGGGGAUUCGUUUUUGCAACCUUCCGGUUACUAGUCCAACGCUCUUACCACCUGCCUUACAUUGCCCUCCACGAGGAGCCUGCAUGGCAGGCUGACUACCUGUUACGCAAGAGCAGCAAGAAGCCAAGGUAAGUUGCUAGCUAGCAUUAAACUUAUCUUAUAAAAAACUAUCAAUCUUAACAUAAUCACUAGUUAACUACACAUGGUUGAUGAUAUUGCUAGUUUAUCUAACGUGUCCUGCGUUGCAUAUAAUCGAUGCGGUGCCUGUUAAUUUAUCAUUGAAUCAUAGCCUACUUCGCCAAACGGGUGUUGAUUUAACAAGCGCAUUUGCGAAAAAAGCACUGUCGUUGCACCAAUGUACCUAACCAUAAACAUCAAUGCCUUUCUUUAAAAUCAAUACACAAGUAUAUAUUUU